UCACAAUAAAAUAUUCUGAAAUAACAGUUAGAACAAUAUUUUGAUCUUUUUAGAAACUAUGCCAGAUUCACCAGGCUCAGAAGAUAGUGGCAUUUGUGGAAAUCGAAAGAGUAAGUUUUUCUUCAGAUUUAAAAAAACUACACUAUAUACAUUAUUUAUGUUUGUACUAAAAACAAAUUAUGCAUUGUCAUUUUGGCUUUUAAAAAGAAAUAAAGUGACAUUAAACUGUUAGUCAUGCAUAGGGUCAUUUACGAAGAAGAUAAAGACCAGCAGACAAACAAUAAUACACAAACACAGCAUAGAAAACUUAAGACUCAACAACACGAACCCACCAAACAUUUGGGUGCACAAUUUGUACAAAGAGACAAACAGAGUUUGUAAAUUAAAGAAAUACAGGUGCGUCAAUCAUGAUACAUGUAUUCAUUAUGGCAUUUUGUAGAUUUGAAAAAAAGCCUCAUGAAAUAUGAAUUAAAGCAAGCUUAUAUUAAAAACCAUUGCGAGCCAUUCACUGGAUUGUCUUAUGACAGCUGUGUCGUUUUAUACAAUCCAGUGAGUGGCUCGGAAUGGUUUUUAAUAUAAAUAAUGUGAUAUUCUGAUAUUACUUUAUGUUGUUUUAUUUUUACUUGAUGAUAUUAUGUCUUAACAUAAUAUGGUUUUUACAUUACGUAAUGAUGUUUUGAUAAAAUUCAAUAUGGAUUAGUCAUUACUUAAUGAUAUUUAAAUACGAACUUAUAUUAGAUAACUCGAAUUUCAACUUGAAAUCUGAAUCUAAAUAUAACAGGGUGAAUUUAAUGCUCGUAUAACAAACUAUGUUUAGAGUUUUUCAUACUUUAUUACUAUUCAGGAAAUAUAACAAUAAAAUCAUGAAAUAAAAAUAACAAAUUUAUAAUAAGGUUAAUAGUUAUCACAGUUACAUAUGAAAUAAUGACACAAUUAUAUUUAUAAUAGCUGACGUCAUUAAAUAAAUACAAAGUUAAAAUAUCAUAUCAUAGCCAGAACGAUAUAUAACGAAGUAUAUAAUGAACAUUUAAAUAUAACUAUCAAACAAUCUUAAAUGAAACACUCUGUUAACAUGUGUACAUGUAAAGGUGUCACAGUAUAUCAAUAAUACGCAAAAUAAUUUGAGAUCAAGAUAAGCCUUACCAAUUUGUGGAAGAAUCAGGCUAUACAAAAACAUCAACAGCAUUACAUUAGCAUUAUAUCCAAUGCUCUACAUCUAUCAUCAAAUACAUGUCUGUAUGAUCAAUGGGUCCUACACAAUAAGUAUUCAAAUGCACAUUAAAGUUCCAUAUAAGCAAAUCAUUACAAUGUUUUUAAUACCUAUAACCUUGGUUAAAAAAUAUUCAAUCACACAAAAAUUACUGGCUAUGACGUUGUAAAAAUGUAUCAGUAUUAAACAAUUUGGCGUCAAAGAUUCAUGACAUUAAGGUUAAAGCUCCCUCUCAGAAUCAUUCAAAAAUCUAUUUCCCUACAGGUACUUGCAAACUACGCUUUCAUAUAAAUCAUACAUUGAGGCAACUCUAUUACACACAUUUUCAUAAUAAAGGGACAUAGGGUGAUACCUACCAAAUAGGACUUAAAGCAUUCCAUGCAAUGCAUUCGUCUCUCAUAAACCUCAAUGAAAGAAAGUGCAUUCUUACCUCAUAAAGUAAAUAUAAUAAGUUCCAUAUGUCCAAAAUACUGCAAAUGACUAUCAAUUAAAUAUCUUUCAAUUCCAUACCAUGUCGAAAUAGCAUAAAUUUUCUAACUUAUGAUAUAUAAAUUGUACAGGUAAAAACAGCUAUCAAUGUGCAGUCAAGCACAGCUGAUUAAUACUUAAUACUCAAAUGAUAAAAACUCGGGCUCUACCUUUAAAUGUGACUCAAACUCGAAGUUCAACUCGAAACUCAAUGCUAUCUAGAACUUUAAUUCUAAAAAUGGCUUGAAUUUUAACUCGAGAUGGAAGACAAACUCAAGAGUUCAACUCGAUCAGUAACCGAACUUUAAUUUGAACUCUUAACUCGAUGGAUGGCCACACUCAUCCAAGGAACAUAAGACAUGGAAAUCUAUUUAAACAUAGAACUUGUUUUUCCGAAUUGACCACGUGGGUUUAUCUUAUCAAGUAAUGGGAUAACCAGAUAAAAAAAAUUGACAAGACUACAUAAAAUACUGUAACUAACAAAUCAUGUAGUGUAUAAUCGUCGUUCGGAAACAUCAUUACGUAUAAAUGUUAAAACCAUAUAAAGAAUAGGCAAAUCAUAAAUACGAAAUUAUAAAACCACAGCAUGUAAUGAAACAACUGCAUUACGUUAAGUCACAUACACACCAAGUAACAUUGCCUGAUUACACAACCACUUUGAAUAAUGAUGAAACUACAUCGAGUAAUGACAAAACCAUAUUAAGUCAAUACGAAACCAUGUCGUGUAAUAUCGAAAUUUCAUUAAGUAAUGACUAUUCGAUAUUGAGUUUCAUCCAAACAUCAUAACUUUAUGUCAAAACCAUAUUAUAUACAGAUAAAAUAUCAUCAAGAAUUAAUGAUAGUUUUUAUUGAUAAAAUCUUAACGAAACAUACAAAUAUGUCAAUGUAUUCAUAUUCAUAGGGAAAUUUUCAAAUGAGAAGCUAUACCACAAAUUAAUGUCACCUAGUACUUUAAGCCCGGAAUCAAUCGUAAGUACUUCUUUCAGAUAAUUCAAUAUUAUUAAAUGAAAGACAAGAAUACAAAUAUUUACCAUAGCACAAUAACAUAAUGACGGGAUGUAUAAGUACAAAGCCACGUUAUAUGUAUAAAAAACAAAAAGGCAUAUGGCCAAAGCAUAUAAAACGGCACUAGAAUUAACUGUUACAAUUUAUUUGUUUGUUAACAAUCAAACAAAAAAUAAUAGAUAGAAAACACUGUUACGCUCUCGUGGUUACUCUAGAGAAAAUGCCGCCUUUUACUGCGAUCUUGUAACCAUUAGGCAUGUAAAAAGAUAUGUAUAUAAACCAACAUCAAAUAACAACACACCUUUAUUAGUAACUGAAAAACUCAUAUUUUAUGUCAAACAUCCAUCUUAAAACCUGAGACUGCAAAUUUGAAAUUCUUGUAAUUGAUUUUAAAAAGAAAGAAGAAAUAAUGACAAUCCUGUAUUAGGCUGAUAAGAAUUUUAAAUCUUUGUAUACCUUAACCAUUCGGAGAUAAUUAACCACCAACAACUAGAUUGUGUCAGUGAGUUGAAACUACGAUCAUUGGUUCUCCCUAUAAAUCACCUUCUUCUUUCAACAAUUAACAGCGGUCAGUAUGAAAGAGCAGUAAGUGAUGUGAGUAGAGUUAAAUUUAAACAACAAAAACAAGAAAAAUUAGUGUGAUACGUAACGCAUAGUAUUUUUUUUCUAAUUUUCAAAUUCAAAGGGUCACAUACGUAGUCAUGUGGUCACAUCCCACUGCAUAUGAUCGUUUUAAUAAAAAUAUUCUUUUUACAGAACAAACGUGCCAGAGAAUGUCUAGAAGAAUGUAAUGACAUUUACGAUUAAUAUUAAGGAGGAACCUAAAACGUUUGCUGGACACUGCAGUACAACUGAAGUGAUAACAUUCUUGUAAUGACAUUAACAGUAACAAUUUUACUACAUCAGCUGCGUAUUUCGACAAUUAAUAUCGCUUCAGUGAUGUUCGAGGCCAAGAUGUUAUACAGCCAAAGUAAAACAAAAUGCAGAAAUGUUGAUUGUGUGACUUCGUG
rnacentral:lncRNA from 1 species